CCAGACCCUGGCAGUAAACCAACCUCUCAUCUCUACCCCCACCUGCUCUGGGGGUGGCCCUGUGCUUCCUGCAACCUGCUCUUCCCUGGUGGUCUUGAGUCCCCCCUGUGGUCCUGAGUCUUCCUGGCGGUCCUGAGUGCCCUGCCAGCAAGGUUUGUGUCAGGGCUCACAAGGACACCUCCUCAUUGAGUCUUUCACAGUAAUACUCAGCUGUGUCCUGGGCAGCCGUGGAGCUGAGCUUCACAGAGAACUGGCUCUUGGUUGAGUCAUUGUUGAUGGGGACAUGGACCUGGGUGGAGGGAGCAUGAUGUGUAUUCCUUGGUGAUCGACUCUAGUAACUGUGCCCCAGCCAUUCCAGCCUGUUGCCCAGGGGAUGGUGGAUUCAGCUCAAAUAGUAUCCAUGGUAAAAAAGAAUCCAGACACAGCACAGGUGGAGGGCAGUGUCUGAGGGCCUCAUGGGUCCUGGACCUGACUCCUGCACCUGCACAUGGGACAGGACACCUGCAAUAAGAGGGAACAUCCUGAUGAGUUUCUUAACCUCACACCAUGAGAGGAACAUGAGAACAAAGAAGAUGAGAAAACUGAAGACCACACUACAUCAACUACAUUCCACUGAUGAGCACUCGUCACACAGAGGCCCAGGGAUGAGCAGGGAAGACGAAGGGGCUGGGAAAUAUCAUCCGCAAAGGGACACCCUCCAGCCUGCUUGACCUCCCCAUGCACGGAGGGGUGAAAUGUUUGUUCUCAGCUAAUGGUGGCUAUGUCAGGACCUCCA
rnacentral:lncRNA from 1 species